rnacentral:rRNA from 1 species
AAUGAACGCUGGCGGCAUGCCUUACACAUGCAAGUCGAACGGCAGCAUGACCUAGCUUGCUAGGUUGAUGGCGAGUGGCGAACGGGUGAGUAAUGCAUCGGAACGUGCCUUUUAGUGGGGGAUAACGUAGCGAAAGUUACGCUAAUACCGCAUAUUCUCUGAGGAGGAAAGCAGGGGGCCUUCGGGCCUUGCGCUAGAAGAGCGGCCGAUGUCGGAUUAGCUAGUUGGUGAGGUAAAGGCUCACCAAGGCAACGAUCCGUAGCGGGUCUGAGAGGAUGAUCAGCCACACUGGAACUGAGACACGGCCCAGACUCCUACGGGAGGCAGCAGUGGGGAAUUUUGGACAAUGGGCGCAAGCCUGAUCCAGCCAUGCCGCGUGAGUGAAGAAGGCCUUCGGGUUGUAAAGCUCUUUCGGCUGGGAAGAAAUCGAACUCUCUAAUACAGGGUGUGGAUGACGGUACCAGCAUAAGAAGCACCGGCUAACUACGUG